rnacentral:rRNA from 1 species
UACAGAGGUGGCAAGCGUUGUUCGGAAUUACUGGGCGUAAAGGGCGAGUAGGUGGCCAUCUAAGUCACACGUGAAAUCCCCAGGCUUAACCUGGGAACUGCGUGUGAUACUGGAUGGCUUGAAUUCGGGAGAGGGAUGCAGAAUUCCAGGUGUAGCGGUGAAAUGCGUAGAUAUCUGGAGGAAUACCGGUGGCGAAGGCGGCAUCCUGGACCGACAUUGACGCUGAGGAGCGAAAGCUAGGGGAGCAAACGGG